UACGUAGGCAGCAAGCUUUGUUCGGAAUUACUGGGCGUAAAGAGUGUGUAGGCGGUGUUCUAAGUCUGUCGUGAAAUCUCCCGGCUUAACUGGGAGGGUGCGGCGGAAACUGGAAUGCUAGAGGGUGGGAGAGGAAAGCGGAAUUCCUGGUGUAGCGGUGAAAUGCGUAGAUAUCAGGAGGAACACCUGCGGUGUAGACAGCUUUCUGGACCACUUCUGACGCUGAGACACGAAAGCGUGGGUAGCAAACAGG
rnacentral:rRNA from 1 species